UACGGAGGGAGCUAGCGUUGUUCGGAAUUACUGGGCGUAAAGCGCGCGUAGGCGGCUUUGUAAGUUAGAGGUGAAAGCCCGGGGCUCAACCCCGGAACAGCCUUUAAGACUGCAUCGCUAGAAUCCGGGAGAGGUGAGUGGAAUUCCGAGUGUAGAGGUGAAAUCCGUAGAUAUUCGGAAGAACACCAGUGGCGAAGGCGGCUCACUGGACCGGUAUUGACGCUGAGGUGCGAAAGCGUGGGGAGCAAACAGG
rnacentral:rRNA from 1 species